rnacentral:rRNA from 1 species
AUUGAACGCUAGCGGGAUGCUUUACACAUGCAAGUCGAACGAGUGGCGGACGGGUGAGUAAUAUCUCGGAACGUGCCCAGUAGCGGGGGAUAACUACUCGAAAGGGUGGCUAAUACCGCCUACUAUUGGAUGUGCCGAUAUCGGAUUAGCUAGUUGGUGGGGUAAAGGCUCACCCAGGCAACGAUCCGUAGCUGGUUUGAGAGGACGACCAGCCACACUGGGACUGAGACACGGCCCAGACUCCUACGGGAGGCAGCAGUGGGGAAUAUUGGACAAUGGGGGAAAGCCUGAUCCAGCCAUCCCGCGUGUAUGAGAAGGCCUUCGGGUUGUAAAGUACUUUUGGCAGAGAAGCGGUAUCUGCAGAAGAAGCACCGGCUAACUACGUGCCAGCCGCCGCGGUAAUAC